GACGAACCGUCCAAACGUUAUUCGGAAUCACUGGGCUUACAGAGUUCGUAGGCGGUCCCAAAAGUUAGGUGUGAAAUCCCUCGGCUCAACCGAGGAACUGCGCUUAAAACUGUGGGACUCGAGGGAGAUAGAGGAAAGCGGAACUGAUGGUGGAGCGGUGAAAUGCGUUGAUAUCAUCAGGAACACCGGUGGCGAAGGCGGCU
rnacentral:rRNA from 1 species